GGAGACAUAUCUACAGAGAGAUCUAGAGAUAGCUCUUUCCUAGUGUUCUGAUCCAUAUCAGAACUCGGGUGUGCUGCUUUUAAAGAGCAUGGGAGAAGAUGGAGAUCACUUCCAGGAAAUAACACCCCACUCCCCGCUGGAAGGGAUUGAUGUGAAAGGAAGCAGUAAAGUAACGGGGAGGCAGGAGGGAGAUUGAAGAAGAGAAGUGAAAAGGAACGCAUUCGCUCCUCAGCACUGAAAUGCCAAUAACCAAGUUUUUCUCUUUCAUGCGUACGAAACAGAAUCCAGGAGUGACUGAAUGACGACAUAAACCGUUGUCUCUCUGAUCGAGGCUAUCGAGGUCAUCGCUAGGUCUGCUGACGUGCUUGCUUUGGAAAGAUUGUCAAAGCAGCCCAGAGCUUUGGACAGGCACUUUUCAA